CAGCAGCCGCGGUAAUACGUAGGGUGCGAGCGUUAAUCGGAAUUACUGGGCGUAAAGCAUGCGCAGGCGGUUGUGUAAGACAGGUGUGAAAUCCCCGGGCUUAACCUGGGAACUGCGCUUGUGACUGCACAGCUAGAGUAUGGCAGAGGGGGGUGGAAUUCCACGUGUAGCAGUGAAAUGCGUAGAGAUGUGGAGGAACACCGAUGGCGAAGGCAGCCCCCUGGGCCAAUACUGACGCUCAUGCACGAAAGCGUGGGGAGCAAACAGGAUUAGAUACCCGCGUAGUCCCUGUCUCUUAUAC
rnacentral:rRNA from 1 species